GUUAUGUCGUGUGUGUUUCUGAGUGCAAAUGUGUGUUUUUCCUUAUCCCUGCACUCGCUUGAGCAUGGUGUUUUGCUAUUGUGUGAGGGUUUGUGAACUAUUUUGACCAUUAAAAUAACAGCAUUUUUGUCAAGCGAGGUCAUUCUGUCCAGACGGUCGGCCCUGGCUUACUCUUAUGGUUGAAAAUGUCGAGUACUGAUAAAAUGAGUCGGCAAUUAAGUUGUAGUGUGUUAGCAGGUAUUAGUACAUUCUAUUAUAGUAGAAAUAACACCAACUGAAUGGUGCUUUUCAAGCCUUUUUAAGCCUUGAAACACUGUCCACUGAGCGUAAACCCAUACAAAGUUCAGUUUUGUAUGAUUUCAUAUUCUGUAAGUCCUCCAAGGUUCUAUUGUCUCCGAAAAUGAGACCGUUUUUCUUUUUCCAGAGUCACUCCAUUUAUUCAGUUGUUCACAUUGUUUGGUACCUAGAAAAGGGAAUAGCCGUCCUCUCUAUUUUCUCUGGAAUUUUCAUAACUGAUUUCAAACAGAAUUGUGUAGUGAAAGUGAGCCAAUCUAAACCCUGGUGGUUUCAUUAUUGUGUAGCCAUUACAUAACACAAUAAACAACCACUUCAUUGUUAAAAACUUCAAAGUUAACAGCUUCCUAUUUCCGAAUUUUUUUUUUUUUUUUUUGUGCCUGUCCCGUUUGGCUCUUUUGCCAUCAGAAUUGUUGUCUAAAGGCAAAGAAAGAUGCCCAACGGAUUUACUUUACCAAAUUGACCAUCCCAGCCUUGCCAUAAUGGUCCAUUUGAUUCACCUUUUAUUGUUUAUUUUAUUUUCACUUACUGAAUACGGGACAGACUUGACUGGGGGAAAGAAGGGGAGAAAGAAAGAGGGAAAGAGAAACAGCUGAGAAGAGGGACGGGGGAGAAGGGCAAAAAACAUAAACCAACAGAACGGGCAGAAAAAAAAAAGAAAAGAAAAAUGCAUAUAUCAAUCACCUGGAUCACCUGCUGAGAAAGAAAAAAGAAAACAAGCAGAAGAGAACAAGAGUAAUAGAAUAAACAACAUCACAAUGAUAUAUGGGAAUAUGACAGUAAAUACUAAAUAUUAAACAUUAUUGUGCAGCACAUAAGAUCAACAGAACACAGAGUGCUUUGAGGUAGGAGCCAAAAAGGGUGUAGUUUGUGGGUGUGAUCACCCGUGUGUACACCUGUGAGCAUGGACGCGCUUGUUUUUUUUUUUUUUAAAGGUUCCUUCAUGUAAUGAUCUGCUAGAGGGUGUGGGGGGGCCACAGCCCCGUAUGGAGGAGAUCAAAACUCCAGACAUCCAGAGGCCCCCAGAACACAAGAGACCAAGGAAGACCAACAGAGGGGCAGCCGCGCCACUGUCCCAGAAAGAGCUGAGGAGAGUCCCAGAUGAGGGUUCACUCAGCAGCCGUGGAGCAGAAGCCAGGGGGAGUUGCAGUGACGUGCCCGUGAGCUCCGCCGGCAGCCACCCGUGCCUGAGUGACCGAGCCCCUGGCCGAGAAGCCGGGGGCACCCCACCUCCGAAGUGGCCCGAGCGAGCCCCAGGCUCCAGGCCCCGAUAAGCGGCCGCCAAGGAGUGAGCCGGUGUGUACCUGGACGCCCAUCCCCGGACACAAAGAACCACCAACGCACCGAUGUCUGAGGGAGUCCGCCACUGGCAGGGAAGUGGUGGUAGGGGGAGAUAGGCCUCCAAACCUUGGAGGGCCUAAGAUGUCCCCAGAGAGGUGGCGCCUGACACCCAACCUGACAUAUAGACACAGACAUACAGGCACACACAGAUACAAACAUCCAUUCCCACCCGCAUGCUCUCAUAUGCACUUACUCCACACUCAACCAACGUGGAGACAGA
ensembl:lncRNA